GUAGGGAAUAUUGGGCAAUGGAGGCAACUCUGACCCAGCCAUGCCGCGUGCAGGAAGACGGUCCUCUGGAUUGUAAACUGCUUUUGAAUGGGAAGAAACGCACUUUUGCGAAAGUGUUUGACGGUACUAUUAGAAUAAGCACCGGCUAACUCCGUGCCAGCAGCCGCGGUAAUACGGAGGGUGCAAGCGUUAUCCGGAUUUAUUGGGUUUAAAGGGUGCGUAGGCGGCUUGAUAAGUCUGGGGUUAAAGGCGGCAGCUUAACUGUACGCAUGCCCUAGAUACUGUUGAGCUUGAGUGACCUGGAGGUAGCUGGAAUUCCCUGUGUAGCGGUGAAAUGCAUAGAUACGGGGAGGAAUACCGAUUGCGAAGGCAUGUUACUACGAGUAAACUGACGCUGAUGCACGAAAGCGUGGGGAUCAAACAGGAUUAGAUACCCGGGUAGUCU
rnacentral:rRNA from 1 species